GAGACCAUCUGGGACAGGUUUAACACAUUCUGAAUGACUCAACACCACUUCAAUGCCCUCCAGUAACUCCUUCACCAGUAGUGGAAGUAAAACCUAGGCUUGGACUUCAAUUACCAACAUCACUCCACCAUAUCCCUUCUUCACUGCCACCUUAUAUUGUUCUUUUACCUUUCUAUUUAUUUUCCCAACCAAAGGCAGGGAUCGGACCCACACAGGUGUGUUAU
rnacentral:misc_RNA from 1 species